GUUGAUGAGAGGGUUGAUACCAUAAGUUUUGCUCAUAUAACCCAUGAUUAAAUCCGCAUUAACAACUUUGCUAUUCAAGAACAACUAUCAACUAAUAAUUAGUAAUUGAAAUGUUAUCAAUUAUUUGUUUUGAAAUUACUUAUGAUAAUAUUGCACUGUUAGAUAUUUUAACCAGUACCUAUUAAAUAGCUACCUACACCAUAAUGCAAGUUCGUAUAUUUUAAGAAUUAAUUGUAAAGCUCACGAUUCAUUGACUCAAUUUUUUACAAUUUCGCAUAAAUAUGUACAUAUGUAUGAAUAAAUACAUUGAGCAAGGAUUUGUUACUGUUGGGUGUGGCGGAAGGUAUGCUUCAAAUAUAAGUGGAAAACCUUGUGAUGUCGUAAAACUAAAAAUCAUGAAACAACAAUUUCAAGUGUUUGAAUCUAGGAACUUGUGACCUUAGCUGCUGCAGUUUAUGACAGCUAAUAAUACGUCGAAUUAUUUUUAGCUGCAAAUCAAAGUCUUUGUAAAAUUGUGCGAUAUAUAUUUGUAUGUAAUGUAGGUAGGUAUGCCUGUAAAGCGUUCAUCUACAUAUGAGUGAUUAAUGAUUUUCCUGCAUUGUUCUGAAUUAAUCGAAUGGAUCGAGUUUUAUAAGUUUUAUUCAAAUGACGAAUCAAAUUGCGUACAACUCUAUCAGAUUUAUAAAGUCCAAAUAUAGUAUUAUUUAGUGAAAAAUUAAGAGUUUGACCUUGCAGCGUACGAAGAAAUUAAAGGGAAGCUAAUGAGGAGAGGACAACCACAUUCAGCAUUCGGCAACAAACAAAUGCAGAGAAAUAUGUAUACAAAGACACGUUGAAUUAUGGAGGGGAAUAGCUAAUGUCAUAAUAAUGCUUAUCAAAGGAAUGAUUAUGUUGAAGACUCUAUUCAGCAUAAAAAUAAACGAGUUAGUUGCGACUAAUUACGAUUAAAA